GAACGAACAAUCUGCUUUUACCUGGAAUAAGUUGCAGCGACACGACAAAGAGGAUUCCCCUGACAAGUGGAGGACAGAAGAAGAAAUGGCAGCUGAAGCAGCAAUUCUGAAGAAGUAUUUUCAGGAAAAUUAGAGAUAACAAAGUGUUUGAAAAACAUCCUGUGCCAUAAGAAACUCCCCAGGAAGAAAGGCCUCGUGCUCCAGUUCUCGGUGACCCUGGAGCUGCAGCUGAACAACUUUAUGAUGGUCUACAAAUAUGGGAAUCUUCCACGACCAAUUUUAUUGGACCUUUGGAUAUCACCAAGGUUGAAUUUCAGCUAAAACAUCUAAGAGCACUGAUUCAAAAUAUUGCUCUGAGUAGUAACUCGUAUCUUUCUGAAUUGUGUAUUUGGGAAUGAAUCUUUUUAAAUUGUCCCUUGGCCUACAUUGCAAUAAAGUGCUAGCAAAAUCAGGUAGCUACUGUGUUUAG
rnacentral:lncRNA from 1 species